rnacentral:rRNA from 1 species
GAUGAACGCUGGCGGCGUGCCUAAUACAUGCCAGUCGAGCGAACAGACGAGGAGCUUGCUCCUCUGACGUUAGCGGCGGACGGGUGAGUAACACGUGGAUAACCUACCUAUAAGACUGGGAUAACUUCGGGAAACCGGAGCUAAUACCGGAUAAUAUAUUGAACCGCAUGGUUCAAUAGUGAAAGACGGCUUUGCUGUCACUUAUAGAUGGAUCCGCGCCGCAUUAGCUAGUUGGUAAGGUAACGGCUUACCAAGGCAACGAUGCGUAGCCGACCUGAGAGGGUGGUCGGCCGCACUGGAGCUGAGACGCGGUCCAGACUCCUGCGGGAGGCAGCAGUAGGGAAUCUUCCGCAAUGGGCGAAAGCCUGACGGAGCAACGCCGCGUGAGUGAUGAAGGUCUUCGGAUCGUAAAACUCUGUUAUUAGGGAAGAACAAAUGUGUAAGUAACUAUGCACGUCUUGACGGUACCUAAUCAGAAAGCCACGGCUAACUACGUG